rnacentral:rRNA from 1 species
GACGGAGGAUGCAAGCGUUAUCCGGAAUGAUUGGGCGUAAAGCGUCUGCAGGUGGCAGUUCAAGUCUGCUGUCAAAGACCGGUGCUUAACUUCGGAAAGGCAGUGGAAACUGAACAGCUAGAGUAUGGUAGGGGCAGAGGGAAUUCCUGGUGUAGCGGUGAAAUGCGUAGAGAUCAGGAAGAACAUCGGUGGCGAAGGCGGCUUCCUGGCCUGUUCUUGACGCUGAGGCGCGAAAGCUAGGGGAGCAAACGGG